rnacentral:rRNA from 1 species
AUGCAGUCGAGCGGAGAAGAGAAGUAGUUUUCUACUUUUGCCGGCGAGCGGCGGACGUGUGAGUAAUGUCUGGGAAACUGCCUGAUGGAGGGGGAUAACUACUGGAAACGGUAGCUAAUACCGCAUGACCUCGCAAGAGCAAAGUGCGGGACCUUCGGGCCUCACGCCAUCGCAUGUGCCCAGAUGGCAUUAGCUAGUAGGUGGGGUAAUGGCUCACCUAGGCGACGAUCCCUAGCUGGUCUGAGAGGAUGACCAGCCACACUGGAACUGAGACACGGUCCAGACUCCUACGGGAGGCAGCAGUGGGGAAUAUUGCACAAUGGGCGCAAGCCUGAUGCAGCCAUGCCGCGUGUGUGAAGAAGGCCUUCGGGUUGUAAAGCACUUUCAGCGAGGAGGAAGGCAGUCGUGUUAAUAGCACGAUUGAUUGACGUUACUCGCAGAAGAAGCACCGGCUAACUCCGUGCCAGCAGCCGCGGUAUACGGAGGGUGCAAGCGUUAAUCGGAAUUACUGGGCGUAAAGCGCACGCAGGCGGUUUGUUAGUCGGAUGUGAAAUCCCCGCGCUUAACGCGGAACUGCAUUUUAAACUUUCAAUCUAGAUCUUGUAGAGGGGGGUAGAAUUCCAGGUGUAGCGGUGAAAUGCGUAGAGAUCUGGAGG